UUGUGGAUAAUACAGGAGGAGGAG
rnacentral:piRNA from 1 species